UGAACAGUUUCCAUGAAGCCCACAGUGGUCCUGCAGCCCAGCUGGACUCUGAUAUACAGAGGUGAGACAAUCACUGCCAGAUGUGAGAUCCAGGAAGGUGGAGGAACUCAGUGGACGUAUGAAUGGAGACCAACCAGGUUAAAUAGACCUCCAUCAUCCAGAGAACACAGGAUCAGCAGAGUUACUGACAGUGGAGACUACAGCUGCCGGGGAAGAAGAGACGUGUUUUAUUUAACACAGUGGAGUGAUGUCGUCUCAGUAACUGUAUCAGAAGAUGAAGCCAAAGCCACUCUGACACCAGACAGUUCAAUCCUACCAGCAGGGGGCAGUGUGACUCUGACCUGUUCUCUGAAGAUUCCUGUAGGAUUCACUUAUAAUCUGUACAGAAAUAAUCACAUCAAACAAUCUGAUGAACCAGGAGGAGUUUUCAAGAUCUCAGAGGGAGGCAAAUACACCUGCAGAGGAUUUAGAAGAGACACAAACUUUAUUACAUCUUUCAGUAACACAGUCUUUAUUCAGCAAACUGCAGAUAAACCCCGGCCUGUCCUCUCUGUGUCUCCAUCAUGGCUGAGUCCUGGAUCCUCAGUAACUCUGAGAUGUGAGAUUAAACCUCCGUCUGCAGGAUGGAGGUUCUACUGGUAUAAAGCUGUUCCUGAUCUGUCACACCAGUAUAUCUCUUACAGCUAUGAGAUGCUGCCUGGUAGCCCCAACGGGACUGCUGGUAGUUCCACCAUUGUUCAUGGACAAACACACACAGCAGGAUGUGUGUGUAGAGCUGAAAGAGUGGACCGUGUUUAUUCCACUGAUCACAGUAAACCCACAUUUGUCUGGUCUGAAGAUGUUCAUCCAGCAGCGUCUCUCACAGUGAAUCCUGACAGAGUUCAACACUUCACAUCUGACUCUGUUUCACUGAACUGUGGAGGAAACUCUGCUGAGUGGAGAGUGAUGAGGUUUACAGAAACACAUCAUCUGUCACGCUGCUCCUCCUGGGGGAGAAUGACUGGAUCCUCAUGUAACAUGAACAUGAACUGGUACCACAGUGGAGUUUACUGGUGUGAGUCUGGAUCAGGAGAGUUCAGCAACACAGUCAACAUCACUGUACAGAAUGAUGAUGAUGGCGUCAUCCUGGUGAGCCCCGUCCAUCCUGUGACUGAGGGAGCUUCUGUCAGUCUGAGCUGCAGACUGAGAGAACAAAACACACUUUCCAGUGUUUCUUUCUAUCACAAUGACAAACUUCUCCAACAUGAUGGCAGAGAGGAGCUGAACAUCUCUGCAGUGUCACAGUCAGACGAAGGUUUCUACAAGUGUCAACAUGCAGGAAAGACGUCACAACAGAGCUGGAUGUCAGUUACAGCUGUGUCCAGACCUGAAAGCUCUUCAUUUCCUGUGCUGUUGAUGGUUGGAUCAGUCAUUGGAAUCAUAUUAUUGAUUUUCCUGCUCUUGUUGUGUCUCUGCAAACUGUCCAAGGAUUUAUGCUGCAUCAGGUGGAUCCAGUCACAGAGCAGCAGUCAGAGCUCCAGUUCACAUCCUGGAGUCAACCAGAAUGAAACUAACCAGUACAGCUCUCCUCUCCACGUAGAUGAUGUUUGUCUCUAUGAGUCGAUCAAACCCACUGAAAGGAAAUAAAAUGUAAAAAUGAUGUGAUUUCAGAAAACUUGUAACAAGUGACUGAUGUGGAAUUAUGAAAUGUUUCAGAUGCAGAUGAAUCCAGAGAUGUCACAUACUCUCUUAUUGAACUGAAACAUUUUGGGAAAAAGAGGAGGCAUCAUGAACCAGAGGAGAGUUGUGUUUACUCUGAAGUGAAGACAGGAACUGCAG